rnacentral:rRNA from 1 species
AUGCAAAAACAGGUCAUGAGUUUAAAACAACAUGGUGUGAGAUCCGAGUAUCUUGGCAGCACCCAAAUGAAUAGCUCUGUUAGCAGUGAGGCUGAAAAAGGCAUGUAUGAUGUUCUGUACAUGACCCCUGAGAAAGCUAUUGCACUUCCUUCAAGGUUCUGGAGUAACUUGCAAGCUUCCGGAAUCUGCUUGUUCGCCAUUGAUGAAGCGCAUUGCAUAUCGGAAUGGGGUCAUGAUUUCAGGCCGGAGUACAAGCAGCUGCAUUUAUUGCUGAGCACCUUUUGGGUGUUCCCUUCGUUGCUCUAA